rnacentral:tRNA from 2 species
GGGGCUAUAGCGCAAUUGGUAGCGCACCUCCAUGGCAUGGAGGGGGUUAGGAGUUCGAGUCUCCUUAGCUCCA